rnacentral:lncRNA from 1 species
AUGAGGCCCCUCAAGAGCAACCCCCCUCCUUCCUUCCCAGGUCUACCUGCGGGAAGCCCCCUGGCCAUCGGCCCAAGCCGAGAUCUGCACCAUCAGUGCCUACAAGACCCCCCGAGACAAGCUGCAGUGCGUCCUGAGGAUGUGCUCCACCAUCAUGAACCUGCUGAGCUUGGCCAACGAGGACUCGGUCCCCGGAGCGGACGAUUUCGUUCCCGUGCUGGUCUUUGUCCUUAUCAAGGCCAACCCGCCCUGCCUCCUCUCCACCGUCCAGUACAUCAGCAGCUUCUACGCCAACUCUCUCACCGGGGAGGAGUCGUACUGGUGGAUGCAGUUCACUGCCGCCGUGGAGUUCAUCAAGACCAUCGAUGAACGGAAGUGAGCCCAAGGCCAGCCGUUUCUGCUCCAGGGAGCCCCGGGGGCCACGGGAAAAAACUCCCCCACUGAAUGUAUUUCUCCUCUUGGGCCAGAGAGAUCCCAGCGACGGAGGAGGAGAGCCUCAGUUUCCCUCUGUGUAAAUACGGUAUUAAUCCGACUAAUAGGGUGCUUUGGAGAAUGACUUGGAUGUGUUUCUCAUAUUCUUAUUAUUAAUAAUUAUUAUUAUUAUUAUUUUGUUGUAUCCCAAACAAAAGAUUUCCACCUCUUGCUUUUUUCGUUUAGAAAACUAGCACCGUUUCCACCCAGAUUCCAAAGGGGACCAUGUUUUGAUAAGGAAUCCCGGAAUCUUCCCAAGGUCUCUCUCUCUCUCUCUCUUUUUUUUUUUCCCCCCUCUCGUCACUGGGAAUCUCAACGGAUAAGGUGGCCUGUUCGUUUUCCUGGGAUAGUUUUUACUUUUCUUUCUCAAAUAAUAUUUAAAAAAAAAAAAAAAAAGCUUGCACUAUUUUAAUUUGUAAACUGGGCCAUUCGUGUUAAUAUUCUGAUGUGGGAUUGGGGAAGGGGGGCAUUUGGCGAGAAGAGGACCCCUCCCAGCCGAAGGGAAGAAAGAGGUUGCACGGAGCAAAGAAAGAAAACCCCCAAAAGGGAAACCUUUAAAUCAUGGUCAAAUCACACCAAUGAAAAAAAAAUUUUUUGCCAUUGGACACGUUCCUCCAGAUCAAUGCUAUGACUGCCUUCAAGAAUUUAAAGCUGAUUUUUUAUUUUGCCCCACCCUCUUCUUUUGGAAGGAGAGGGGAGGUCAAAGCCCGAGUAUUUAUUUAAAAAUGUGAAAGGUUAUUAUUACUCAAACUGGAAGUUACCCAAAGUUUCUUUUUUCCCCCCUUGUGUUUUCUUUUCUUUUCUGUUUUUCUUUUCCAAACGAAAUUCGAAAGAGCAUUUUAGUAUUUGUCUGUUGCACAAGGCAGGAAGUUAGAAACAAAAGGGAUUGUGGCAAAGAAAUGGUAAUACACACACACACACACACACACACACAAAUAAAAGUCUCGAUACCUUUGCUUUUUUUUUCCUU